UACGUAGGGGGCAAGCGUUGUCCGGAAUCAUUGGGCGUAAAGAGCGCGUAGGCGGCCCGAUAAGUCCGCUGUGAAAGUCCAGGGCUCAACCCUGGGAUGCCGGUGGAUACUGUCGGGCUCGAGUCCGGAAGAGGCGAGUGGAAUUCCUGGUGUAGCGGUGAAAUGCGCAGAUAUCAGGAGGAACACCAAUGGCGAAGGCAGCUCGCUGGGACGUGACUGACGCUGAGGCACGAAAGCGUGGGUAGCAAACAGG
rnacentral:rRNA from 1 species